AACGUAGGUUCCGAGCGUUAUCCGGAUUUACUGGGCGUAAAGCGCGUUCAGGCGGUUUGGCAAGUCGGGCAUGAAAUCUCUCGGCUCAACCGGGAGAGGUUGUCCGAUACUGCUGGACUUGAGGGCAGUAGAGGGUGGUGGAAUUCCGGGUGUAGUGGUGAAAUGCGUAGAUAUCCGGAGGAACACCAGUGGCGAAGGCGGCAUCCUGGACCGAAACUGACACUGAGGCGCGAAAGCCAGGGGAGCAAACGGG
rnacentral:rRNA from 1 species